GACGUAGGGCGCGAGCGUUGUCCGGAUUUAUUGGGCGUAAAGAGCUCGUAGGCGGCUUGUCGCGUCGACUGUGAAAACCCGCGGGCUCAACCGCGGCCUGCAGCCGAUACGGGCAGGCUAGAGUUCGGUAGGGGGAGACUGGAAUUCCUGGUGUAGCGGUGAAAUGCGCAGAUAUCAGGAGGAACACCGAUGGCGAAGGCAGGUCUCUGGGCCGAUACUGACGCUGAGGAGCGAAAGCGUGGGGAGCGAACAGG
rnacentral:rRNA from 1 species